CGCAGCAGGCGCGAAAGCUUUACAAUGCGGGAAACCGUGAUAAGGGAACACCGAGUGCCAGCAUCAUAUGCUGGCUGUCCAGAUGUGUAAACUACAUCUGUUAGCAAGGGCCGGGCAAGACCGGUGCCAGCCGCCGCGGUAACACCGGCGGCCCGAGUGGUGACCGUUAUUAUUGGGUCUAAAGGGUCCGUAGCCGGUUUGGUCAGUCCUCCGGGAAAUCUGAUAGCUUAACUGUUAGGCUUUCGGGGGAUACUGCCAGGCUUGGAACCGGGAGAGGUAAGAGGUACUACAGGGGUAGGAGUGAAAUCUUGUAAUCCCUGUGAGACCACCUGUGGCGAAGGCGUCUUACCAGAACGGGUUCGACGGUGAGGGACGAAAGCUGGGGGCACGAACCGGAUUAGAUACCCGGGUAGUCCCAGCCGUAAACUAUGCUCGCUAGGUGUCAGGCAUGGCGCGACCGUGUCUGGUGCCGCAGGGAAGCCGUGAAGCGAGCCACCUGGGAAGUACGGCCGCAAGGCUGAAACUUAAAGGAAUUGGCGGGGGAGCACAACAACGGGUGGAGCCUGCGGUUUAAUUGGACUCAACGCCGGACAACUCACCGGGAACG
rnacentral:rRNA from 1 species